GAUUAACUUCACCUACUUUAGCAUAUGGGUUAAGCCCAGGGCUUAGAGGGGCUUUUAAAAAUCUCCUUAACCUCUCAUACAUUUGCUGAAGUUAAUACACAGUUAUGAUCAUUCACUCACUCAUUUAUACAUUUAUCUAAAUGUUUCCAUAAUUGAGUACCUGUGCAUAAUGUGAGGUACUUUCUAAUUGCCAAUCCCUGCUUGAAAAUUGCUUGUGGCUCCUCAUUGCCUACUAAAGGGUGUUUACAUUUAGCCUGGCAUGUAGGACCUUCAGUUGUUGGUUGAAAUAAUGAACACUCCUCUCUUCUUCUCUAUAUGAAGCUGCUGUCAGAGAAGACCUCGGUCGCUUUGGCAAGUGGCAGGGGCUG
rnacentral:lncRNA from 1 species